AAGAUUUUUCAGCAAACCCGGUGAAAACCGGGGACGCAAAGCCAAGGGUCUAAGCCGAUCGGUAUGACAGCCGGCUGCCGGA
rnacentral:ncRNA from 1 species